GCGCUUGUAGCUCACUUGGAUAGAGCAGCGGACUUCGAAUCCGCAGGCAGCACGUUCGAAUCGUGUCAGGCGCA
rnacentral:tRNA from 1 species